GGCUCAUACCGCCUCCUGAAAGUUGUGGCUACAGCACAGGCUUUGGCUGUUUUCUAGAACGUCGCUCGGAUCCCUUUAAAGGUGGAGAGCUUGACGGAGAAUGCAGAAUGCCGGGGGAUGAAGGCGGGAGCUGAGGGCUGGAGAGUCUCUGUUGACAUAGUAACUCUUCAGCUCUGUCUCCCUUGCUCUCCGCUCUUAGGCUUCGCUACCACCAGCGGCCCCGCCUGUGCCCUGUCUGCCCGGGAGUCCCGGACGCAUCCUCGCGGGGUCUCCUCGGCCUGACUAGCUGAGGUCAAGGUCCCCUUUGCACCCCCUUAAGUGGUGAUUUCUCCCCGGGCCAGUGGGCGAGCUACUUGAGGCGGGCGUCUGCACCUCCUGCCUCAUCGCCGUCCCCUGGGCACCGGUCUGCCCAGGACCAGUUCAGCCGCUGACGCGCGCCCUCGGCACCCGGUGCCCGCUGGGACUGCCCAGUCGACUCCCCCGGGAGCGGGACCCAGGCCAGUCGGGCGUUCCCGCCAUGAGCCAGAGCCCGGCGUUCGGGCCCCGGAGGGGCGGUUCUCCCCGCGGCGCUGUCGGAGCCGGUGCGCGAUGCAACGAGAGUCAGGACUAUCUGCUCAUGGACUCGGAGCUAGGAGAAGACGGCUGCCCGCAAGCCCCGCUGCCUUGCUACGGCUACUACCCCUGCUUCCGGGGAUCUGACAACAGACUGGCUCACCGGCGGCAGACAGUUCUCCGUGAGAAGGGGAGAAGGUUAGCUAAUCGAGGACCAGCAUACAUGUUUAGUGAUCGCUCAACAAGCCUAUCUAUAGAGGAGGAACGCUUUUUAGAUGCAGCUGAAUAUGGUAACGUCCCAGUGGUGCGGAAGAUGUUAGAAGAAUGCCACUCACUCAACGUUAACUGUGUGGAUUACAUGGGCCAGAAUGCCCUACAGUUGGCAGUGGCCAAUGAGCAUCUGGAAAUUACAGAACUUCUUCUCAAGAAAGAAAACCUCUCUCGAGUUGGGGAUGCUUUGCUUCUAGCUAUUAGUAAAGGUUAUGUUCGGAUUGUGGAAGCAAUUCUCAGUCAUCCAGCUUUUGCUGAAGGCAAGAGGUUAGCAACCAGCCCUAGCCAGUCUGAACUCCAGCAAGAUGAUUUUUAUGCCUAUGAUGAAGAUGGGACACGGUUCUCCCAUGAUGUGACUCCAAUCAUUCUGGCUGCCCACUGCCAGGAAUAUGAAAUUGUGCACACCCUCCUGCGGAAGGGUGCUAGGAUUGAACGGCCUCAUGAUUAUUUCUGCAAGUGCAAUGACUGCAACCAGAAACAGAAGCAUGACUCAUUUAGCCACUCCAGAUCUAGGAUUAAUGCCUAUAAAGGCCUGGCAAGUCCGGCUUACCUGUCAUUGUCUAGUGAAGAUCCAGUCAUGACGGCUUUAGAACUCAGCAAUGAACUGGCAGUGCUGGCCAAUAUUGAGAAAGAGUUCAAGAAUGACUACAAAAAACUGUCAAUGCAGUGCAAAGACUUUGUUGUUGGACUCCUUGAUCUGUGCAGAAACACUGAAGAAGUCGAGGCCAUUCUGAAUGGGGAUGUUGAAACGCUCCAGAGUGGUGAUCACGGUCGCCCAAAUCUCAGCCGUUUAAAACUUGCCAUUAAAUAUGAAGUAAAAAAAUUUGUAGCUCAUCCAAACUGCCAACAGCAACUUCUCUCCAUUUGGUAUGAGAAUCUUUCUGGUUUACGACAGCAGACAAUGGCGGUCAAGUUCCUUGUGGUCCUUGCUGUUGCCAUUGGACUGCCCUUCCUGGCUCUCAUUUACUGGUUUGCUCCAUGUAGCAAGAUGGGGAAGAUAAUGCGUGGACCAUUCAUGAAGUUUGUAGCACACGCAGCCUCCUUCACCAUUUUUCUGGGACUGCUUGUCAUGAAUGCAGCUGACAGAUUUGAAGGCACAAAACUCCUUCCUAAUGAAACCAGCACAGAUAAUGCAAAACAGCUGUUCAGGAUGAAAACAUCCUGCUUCUCAUGGAUGGAGAUGCUCAUUAUAUCCUGGGUAAUAGGCAUGAUAUGGGCUGAAUGUAAAGAAAUUUGGACUCAAGGCCCCAAGGAAUAUUUGUUUGAGUUGUGGAAUAUGCUUGAUUUUGGUAUGUUAGCAAUUUUUGCAGCAUCAUUCAUUGCGAGAUUCAUGGCAUUUUGGCAUGCUUCCAAAGCCCAGAGCAUCAUUGAUGCAAAUGAUACUUUGAAGGACUUGACGAAAGUAACAUUGGGAGACAAUGUGAAAUACUACAAUUUGGCCAGGAUAAAGUGGGACCCCUCUGAUCCUCAAAUAAUAUCUGAAGGUCUUUAUGCAAUUGCUGUAGUUUUAAGUUUCUCUAGGAUAGCUUAUAUUUUGCCAGCAAAUGAAAGCUUUGGACCUCUGCAGAUAUCACUUGGAAGAACAGUCAAAGACAUCUUCAAGUUCAUGGUCAUAUUCAUUAUGGUGUUUGUGGCCUUUAUGAUUGGAAUGUUCAACCUCUACUCCUACUACAUUGGUGCAAAACAAAAUGAAGCCUUCACAACAGUUGAAGAGAGUUUUAAGACACUGUUCUGGGCUAUAUUUGGACUUUCUGAAGUGAAAUCAGUGGUCAUCAACUAUAACCACAAAUUCAUUGAAAACAUUGGUUACGUUCUUUAUGGAGUCUAUAAUGUUACGAUGGUCAUUGUUUUGCUAAAUAUGUUAAUUGCCAUGAUCAACAGUUCAUUCCAGGAAAUUGAGGAUGACGCCGAUGUGGAGUGGAAAUUUGCAAGAGCCAAACUCUGGUUCUCCUACUUUGAGGAGGGGAGAACACUUCCCGUACCUUUCAAUCUGGUGCCAAGUCCAAAGUCCCUGUUUUAUCUCUUACUGAAGCUUAAAAAAUGGAUUUCUGAGCUGUUCCAGGGUCAUAAAAAAGGUUUCCAGGAAGAUGCAGAGAUGAACAAGAUAAAUGAAGAAAAGAAACUUGGAAUUUUAGGAAGUCAUGAAGACCUUUCAAAAUUAUCACUUGACAAAAAAACAGGUUGGGUACAAUAAGCAACCAAGUGUAAGGAGUUCAGAAGAUUUCCGUUUCAAUAGUUUCAAUAAUCCUCCAAGACAGUAUCAGAAAAUAAUGAAAAGACUCAUUAAGAGAUAUGUACUACAGGCCCAGAUAGAUAAGGAGAGUGACGAAGUGAACGAAGGGGAACUGAAGGAAAUUAAGCAGGACAUCUCAAGUCUCCGCUAUGAACUCCUUGAAGAAAAAUCUCAGAAUACAGAAGACCUAGCAGAACUUAUUAGAGAACUUGGAGAGAAAUUAUCCAUGGAACCAAAUCAAGAGGAAACCAAUAGAUAAUGCGAAGACUUCCUUAGAAAUUCAUAUUUAUUUGUCCACUUAAAGCCAUAUUAUUUUCUGAUUUAUUUUCUUAAGUGCCAAUGUGCCCACCUUUUAAACAAGAAGAAGUUAAACGAUACCUUGGGCCAUCCUAUCUUCUGGAGCCCUAGUAUCUAAAUUUUUUGGUGAUUAAACUCCUUUGUUCAGGGUAAAGGCUGUAGAUUAUGAUGAAAAUUAUGUCCAGUUGUUUGGUGCUUGUUUUAUAAACUGCUUUCUUGGAUAUAACUGUUGUGAUGAUGUCAUUGCCAUGUAAUGUCUGCCUGAAAAUGGGUCCCAGCAGACAGGGGCUGACCUACGUUAUUCCCCAUGCAGUUUUUCCUCUGAAGGUUAUUUCAGGUUCCUUUUUCCCUGCUCUGUGGAUCCCCCUGCUGGGGACUCCCAGCUCUGAAAUUUUGGAAAGAGUCGUCCAUGGGCCUUUAGAAUGCUUUAGUCCUUUCUUUAGAAUGCUGUUUAACCACCAUUUACCCUACUUAUCCCUCAAAGCACAUGACUGAUACUGUUCAUACAAAAUGGGCUUAUAUCUAUGUAAAAUUUCCUGAUUCAUCUAUUUGAAAACAUUACACUUAACAAUGAAAAAAGUUUUUCCUCCACUGAACCCUGGAAACAUGAUCCUGUUGUGUGUGUGUGUGUGUGUGUGUGUACACACACACACAUACAUAUGUGUGUAUACAUAUAAAUGUGUACACACAUAAAGUAAUUGCCCUAUUUUUUUUGUGGCUCAUGUGGGCACACGAAAGCUCUUUAUGUUAUAAAAUUUUAUUGUGACUAAAAUAUUACUGUCUAAAUAUGUACCUUUUAUUGGAGAAAAAUCAAAACCCCAAACAUUGUGGUUAUUUGGUUCCAUUAUAGCACAAUUCUGUGCCAUUUCUGGGGGCAUUUACAGAUGAAUUCCCACACUUAGCCAUUGAAUGUAAAGGGGAAAAAUAAGGUGGGAAUUUGUAAAUACUUAUCUGUUAUUUUCAAUAUGUUCUAUACUACCCAAAUAUAUAAAACAGGAAUUUGCAUUCAUGUGCAUUUACCAAGAGGUGGUUGUUGUUACUUACUGAUCAUGUGAAGUGGUAUCUUAAACAACUAAAAGAGAUGAAGGUUCAUAUGUUUACUCAAAGACCAUUGGCAUUCAGAGGAUGAUGGACAUUAACUGGAAAUGCUACUUCCAAUUCAAUAACAGGAGAUUUCAAAUGCAGAUCUUUAACUUCAUCUUAAAGAUGAAAUGUUCGCAGAAAAUCUGUUUUAGCUCCGACUUUGGCUUGAUUUAAAUCAAAUAAUAUUUAUGUAACCAGAUCAGAAAAUACAGCUGAAAAUUUAUAUCCAGUGAUUUUGUAUUUGUGGAUGUUACUUAUGGAAAAGUUACUUGGUGAUACAUAAAGAUCAAUUUUCAAAUA